rnacentral:rRNA from 1 species
UACGGAGGGUGCGAGCGUUGUCCGGAAUCACUGGGCGUAAAGGGCGCGUAGGUGGCGCGGGAAGUCAACGGUGAAAGUUCGGGGCUCAACCCUGAAUCGGCCGUCGAUACUCCCGGGCUCGAGCACUGUAGAGGCAGAUGGAAUUCCGGGUGUAGCGGUGGAAUGCGUAGAGAUCCGGAAGAACACCGGUGGCGAAGGCGGCCCGCUGGGCAACUGCUGACACUGAGGCGCGACAGCGUGGGGAGCAAACAGG